GAAAACUUUUCCUGCCUUCUCUGACGAGUGGCGGACGGGUGAGUAAUGUCUGGGUAACUGCCUGAUGGAGGGGGAUAACUACUGGAAUCGGUGGCUAAUACCGCAUAACGUCGCAAGACCAAAGAGGGGGACCUUCGGGCCUCUUGCCAUCAGAUGUGCCCAGAUGGGAUUAGCUUGUUGGUGAGGUAACGGCUCACCAAGGCGACGAUCCCUAGCUGGUCUGAGAGGAUGACCAGCCACACUGGAACUGAGACACGGUCCAGACUCCUACGGGAGGCAGCAGUGGGGAAUAUUGCACAAUGGGCGCAAGCCUGAUGCAGCCAUGCCGCGUGUAUGAAGAAGGCCUUCGGGUUGUAAAGUACUUUCAGCGGGGAGGAAGGUGUUGUGGUCAAUAACCGAAGCAAUGACAUUACCCGCAGAAAGACCAGCUAACUCGUGCCAGCAGCCGCGGUAUACCGAGGGUGCAAGCGUUAAUCGGAAUAACUGGGCGUAAAGGCACGCAGGCGGCCUGUAAAGUCAGAUGUGAAAUCCCCGGGCUCAACCUGGGAACUGCAUCUGAAACUGGCAGGCUUGAGUAGGUAGAGGGAGGUAGAAUUCCAGGUGUAGCGGUGAAAUGCGUAGAGAUCUGAAGGAAUACCGAUGGCGAAGGCAGCCCCCUGGACAAAGACUGACACUCAGGUGCGAAAGCGUGGGGAGCAAACAGGAUUAGAUACCCUGGUAGUCCACGCCGUAAACGAUGUCUACUAGGAGGUGGGGAACUUGAUUCGUGACUGCGCAGCUAACGCAAGAAGUAGACCGCCAGGGCAGUACGGCCGCAAGGUUAAAACUCAAAUGAAUUGACGGCGGCCCGCACAAGCAGCGGAGCAUGUGAUUCAAUGCGAUGCAACGAAAAGAAACCCACCGACCCUUGACAUAUCCAGAAUCUUGCAGAGAUGCGGGAGUGCCUUCGGGAAUUAGAAUACAGGUGCUGCAUGGCUGUCGUCAGCUCGUGUCGUGAGAUGUUGGGUUAAGUCCCGCAACGAGCGCAACCCUUUUCCUUAGUUACCAGCGGUUUGGCCGGGGACUCUAAGGAUACUGCCAGUGACAAACUGGAGGAAGGCGGGGAUGACGUCAAGUCAUCAUGGCCCUUACGACCAGGGCUACACACGUGCUACAAUGGUAGGUACAGAGGGAAGCUACACAGCGAUGUCAUGCGGAUCUCAAAAAGCCUAUCGUAGUCCAGAUUGGAGUCUGCAACUCGACUCCAUGAAGUCGGAAUCGCUAGUAAUCGCGGAUCAGAAUGCCCCCCGGAUUUCC
rnacentral:rRNA from 1 species